rnacentral:misc_RNA from 1 species
UUGAACGAACCGGGAUUGAACCCGUACCAUCCAAACCAGAGCAAGAAAGUACCGAGAACCACCAAAGAAGCGCUGUGUCCACGCAAAGAAAUAGCCCUGCCAGAAUGGUCAAAACGGCCUAUUCUCGGGCCUUCAAUGAGAGCUCCCCAUAACCCAGCAAUACCACCCACCAUAUGCACCACCCCAGAUCCAGCGAAAUCGAUGACUCCGCUACCAAACAAGAGAUUGUCAGCUCUGAACGCAGACGCCCACCCAUCGGC